AAAUGAUUCCUCUUCAAGGCACCCCAUCUCUUAUGGAAAAUCCAGGUUAAGGGUAGAAUCUUGAUCAUUAUUACCAUCUAAUUAACUAUUGAAAUGCUUAAGAGAUCCAAAAAUUUUCUCUUAAAUCAUUUGUUCAUCUUCACCUUAAUCCCAAAAUCAGUGUUAAUUGCUUCUAGGGAAGAACUAAACACUCUAAGUGUAAUGCUCUGAAUACCUGAUUCCAUGACAGAACCAGAAUUUCCCUGAAGAUUCAGAGUUUCUUUUGGAAUUGGUAAAGAAUUCUUAUCUGUCACUCCAUUGGAAUCAGAAUU
rnacentral:misc_RNA from 1 species